rnacentral:rRNA from 1 species
UACGAAGGGGGCUAGCGUUGCUCGGAAUCACUGGGCGUAAAGGGUGCGUAGGCGGGUCUUUAAGUCAGAGGUGAAAUCCUGGAGCUCAACUCCAGAACUGCCUUUGAUACUGAAGAUCUUGAGUUCGGGAGAGGUGAGUGGAACUGCGAGUGUAGAGGUGAAAUUCGUAGAUAUUCGCAAGAACACCAGUGGCGAAGGCGGCUCACUGGCCCGAUACUGACGCUGAGGCACGAAAGCGUGGGGGAGCAAACAGGG